UACGAAGGGUGCAAGCGUUGUUCGGAAUUACUGGGCGUAAAGGGUUCGUAGGCGGGAGUGUAAGUUGGAUGUGAAAACCCUGGGCUCAACCCGGGACGUGCAUCCAAAACUGCGUUUCUUGAGUGCUAGAGAGGGUCGUGGAAUUGCUGGUGUAGGAGUGACAUCCGUAGAGAUCAGCAGGAACACCGGAGGCGAAAGCGACGGCCUGGCUAAACACUGACGCUGAGGAACGAAAGCGUGGGGAGCAAACAGG
rnacentral:rRNA from 1 species